UCAAACCGGGAGAUAGCUGGUUCUCCCCGAAAGCUAUUUAGGUAGCGCCUCGUGAAUUCAUCUCCGGGGGUAGAGCACUGUUUCGGCAAGGGGGUCAUCCCGACUUACCAACCCGAUGCAAACUGCGAAUACCGGAGAAUGUUAUCACGGGAGACACACGGCGGGUGCUAACGUCCGUCGUGAAGAGGGAAACAACCCAGACCGCCAGCUAAGGUCCCAAAGUCAUGGUUAAGUGGGAAACGAUGUGGGAAGGCCCAGACAGCCAGGAUGUUGGCUUAGAAGCAGCCAUCAUUUAAAGAAAGCGUAAUAGCUCACUGGUCGAGUCGGCCUGCGCGGAAGAUGUAACGGGGCUAAACCAUGCACCGAAGCUGCGGCAGCGACGCUGAUGCGUUGUUGGGUAGGGGAGCGUUCUGUAAGCCUGCGAAGGUGUGCUGUGAGGCAUGCUGGAGGU
rnacentral:rRNA from 1 species